rnacentral:rRNA from 1 species
GGGCGCAAGCCUGAUGCAGCCUGCCGCGUGUGUGAAGAAGGCCUUCGGGUUGUAAAGCACUUUCAGUCGUGAGGAAGGUNNAUGGCGUUAAUAGCNNUUUUAUUUGACGUUAGCGACAGAAGAAGCACCGGCUAACUCCGUGCCAGCAGCCGCGGUAAUACGGAGGGUGCGAGCGUUAAUCGGAAUUACUGGGCGUAAAGCGCAUGCAGGUGGUUUGUUAAGUCAGAUGUGAAAGCCCGGGGCUCAACCUCGGAAUAGCAUUUGAAACUGGCAGACUAGAGUACUGUAGAGGGGGGUAGAAUUUCAGGUGUAGCGGUGAAAUGCGUAGAGAUCUGAAGGAAUACCGGUGGCGAAGGCGGCCCCCUGGACAGAUACUUGACACUCAGAUGCGAAAGCGUGGGGAGCAAACAGGAUUAGAUACCCUGGUAGUCCACGCCGUAAACGAUGUCUACUUGGAGGUUGUGGCCUUGAGCCGUGGCUUUCGGAGCUAACGCGUUAAGUAGACCGCCUGGGGAGUACGGUCGCAAGAUUAAAACUCAAAUGAAUUGACGGGGGCCCGCACAAGCGGUGGAGCAUGUGGUUUAAUUCGAUGCAACGCGAAGAACCUUACCUACUCUUGACAUCCAGAGAACUUUCCAGAGAUGGAUUGGUGCC